AUUAAGGUGUCUGAUUAAAGUGGUAAACUGUAAAUUUACUUAUGAAUGUUAAAUUCCCUUAAUA